rnacentral:lncRNA from 1 species
UACUAAUUCUUCUUCUGCUUUCGAGGAUCAAUUCAAUAAAAGAAAUUAGGGUCUGUUUUGAAUUCAUUUUAUUUUACCCUAGACUUCAUUAAAAUUUUAUGAAUCGAUUCUUGAAUGCCCGCUAUGGUAGAAUAUUCAUGUGGGACGCCUCCCACUGGGGGCCCGCUAUGUCAAAAGCGAGAGAACCCUAUUCCUCUCUUUCCUUUUUUCGCCCCCAUAUCGCCGCACGACUUUAGAUGGUAAUGGUGCAUAUUUAAUUUGAGGGAAACUCAUCGUUUCUCUUUUGUUAAUACACUCGAGAAUUUUGAUAAGAGUUUUCUCAUUUUCAUAGCUUAGACAUGACUAGUCAUAAUGUAGAUUAAUAUUCUCAAGAAUAUUGACGAGUUUUCCCACUUUCGUAGUUUAAACAUAACUAGUCAUAAUACACGUUUUUUCGCAGUUUAAAUAUUAGUCAUAGAGUUGUGGAGAAUUUGUUCUUGUCAAGUUGUGGAGAAUUUGUUCUUGUCAAGAUCAAGAUUAGGCCAUGUGCCUAAAUAUGAUAGUGAAUAUGGAAUCACUCUCUUGACAAAGCAGCUUCCUAGCUUUUAGGUGGUCGAGGAGCCUUGCUGAAUUUUUGACUAGUCAUAAUGAACGUCUUCAAUUUGUGACCCUCGUUGGAUUGGAGCUCUUUAUAUUUUAUAUAAAAUAUCAUGUCUUAAGUCUCUUGACGAUCAUCAUCCUUAAGAAGUGGCAUUAUGACCUUGUCUUAAUUUAGAUGUUUUGUGAUUACUGUCAAGACAUAUUUUUACCUCUCUCUAUCCUAUAUUCAUCGCUUGCUUGAUGAUAUGAUUAUUUUGCUUUGCGUCGGCCGCUCUAGAAAAUGCAAAAAUCCUUUGUGCAUGCAAGUUAUAUCAUGGACGCUGACUUGAAAGCUUUUGAAGGGAGAGAGCAAUAGGCAAGCCAUUUAAAGGUGAAGGAGGAGGAGAAGGUUUCCAAUAUGAAAAAGUAUUUGGAGGCUUAAGAUGCUCUAGUUGAAAAGCAAGAAAAAGAGAUUGACAGCCUUCACUCUUCACUUGCCCAUGCCCGGGGUGAUGCUGUGAGCGUUACGAAGCCUUUUAUGAGUUUACCAAAGAUAUGGACAUUUAUGGGUCUGUUAUAAUUCGAAUUAGAUCUGAAACCAUUUUAUUAAAAGAGGAACAGAUUUGAUACCAAUUUGUUGAGAAUUCGACCAAAUAAUUCAAGAUGAGCAUAAUAUGAGUAAAUAUGAAAAUAAUGGAUUACAAAGAAAACAAGACCUACAUAGAAAUCCAAAUUAGGGAAAAUCAUGGGUAGAGAUAAAGAAUUUGCUCUAGUUAAUAGUAAGGAAUUACAAAGGAUCUCUUUGAGUCUAACUAAUUGGACAAUUAGUCAAUUUCAAUAUUAUUUCCUAUCACAUAUUUAUAACCAAACAAUUCCUAAAAUAAUAGGAGAAUUAAUAAAUGAAGAUUUUUAAUGUAGAAACAUAUUGCUGAAUAAUUAAAAAAGAAUUGGAUAAAAAUGGAAAAAAUGUAACAGUAGAAAGAAAACAUACGAAAUUUUGGAUUGGGCCUAUAAGACUAUUCCUAAAAGAAGAAGAUGAGACGAGCAAUACUCA